CUGGGACCCCUCUCUCUGCAGCAGAGAGAGCUAUUCUUUCUUUCGCCUGUUAAUCUUCCACUCUUAACCUCACUUCGUGUGCCUGCGUCUUUGAUUUCCUUGGCGUGAGGCAAUAAACCUCAGUUCUUCUGUUAUAUAAAGGAAAGAUUUCAACAGAAACUUAUGAAAGAAGACAGAUCAAAAAAAAUCCCUUAUUUGGAAGUUAAUGUGUGAUGCCAGUUCUGAGCGACUACAAUGGCUUUUAAAAUAACUUGCAUAAGCCCAGAAGUCUAUGUAACAACUUUAUGAAAUGAUCCGGGGUAAGAUAAAAGAAGCAUUCAAUCAAAAUCUAAGAAUAAAGCCAAGGUUAAAUUAAGCUGUGUUUACCAGAAG
rnacentral:lncRNA from 1 species